GAUGAACGCUAGCUACAGGCUUAACACAUGCAAGUCGAGGGGCAGCGGGAUUGAAGCUUGCUUCAAUUGCCGGCGACCGGCGCACGGGUGAGUAACGCGUAUCCAACCUUCCGUACACUCAGGGAUAGCCUUUCGAAAGAAAGAUUAAUACCUGAUGGUAUCUUAAGCACACAUGUAAUUAAGAUUAAAGAUUUAUCGGUGUACGAUGGGGAUGCGUUCCAUUAGGUAGUAGGCGGGGUAACGGCCCACCUAGCCAACGAUGGAUAGGGGUUCUGAGAGGAAGGUCCCCCACAUUGGAACUGAGACACGGUCCAAACUCCUACGGGAGGCAGCAGUGAGGAAUAUUGGUCAAUGGACGAGAGUCUGAACCAGCCAAGUAGCGUGAAGGAUGAAGGUCCUACGGAUUGUAAACUUCUUUUAUAAGGGAAUAAACCCUCCACGUGUGGGAGCUUGUAUGUACCUUAUGAAUAAGCAUCGGCUAACUCCGUG
rnacentral:rRNA from 1 species